UUGUCUCCAUAGCCCACCCUCUUGUCCCUAUAAGAGAAAACACUAUAGGUGUCCCUUCAUUAUACCUCAGAGGGACAGAGGGCAGCAGAAACCUGAGCUCCCCCGGACCCCACCACAGACCCUUCCUGGAAGCCCACAGCUGGUCUUGCAGACAAAGAAGACAAGCAGAAAGCCUCGCCAAUGGGUCACCCUUAUUUCAGAUAUCCAGACUGGAUUCUUGCUGAUUGUCCUCUUCUCUGUUGGAGUGGUCCUGAGAUGUUACAGAUCACCUCAGUGGAUGAGUAUGAAUGCCUCAGGAGGAAUAAGGGGAAGGUGUCAUCAUUCAUUCACUGCUGUCCCCGUGCUGGGACAGCAUCAGCACACAGACUGUAGUCUCAAGGCAGCUGUGAAGAGCUCCCGGCCUAGUGGGGGAAUCUCACACUGGAUUGCCAUCAUUUUGUGUCCACAUGUCUAAGUGCUAUAAAAGAGAUAUGAAUCAUAAGUACAAAAUGCUAUGGAAGCACA